UAGUUGGUGGAGUGAUUUGUCUGGUUAAUUCCGUUAACGAACGAGACCUCAGCCUGCUAAAUAGUUUGACGAACACUUGUGUUCGCAUCAAAAGCUUCUUAGAGGGACUUUCUGUAUCUAGCAGACGGAAGUUUGAGGCAAUAACAGG
rnacentral:rRNA from 1 species